CGAAGCUUUUACCUCUUCGUAUCUCUUUACCUCCUUCCAGCUCGUAUUCUUUUCCUACUUCGCGUCUUAUCAAUAAGAUACCGUUUUAUGAUAUUUCUCGAGUAGCUGCCGUUAUCGAAUAGCCCUGAAAAGAGAAAAUAAUACUCGAAGCACAGAGGCUGAGCUCGAUGGCGCGAAAUAAAUUUCUCUUUCCUACGACGAGAUUUACUGCAACCAGUUUCAAGCUGCGAGUGAAAAGUUUCUAGAGAACGAACGUGCAGAUUGACAAGUUUAUAAAAUGGGAUCUAAUAAGAACUACACCCAGCUCAUCGACAAAGUCGAAAGCCUAACCGAGCCCCGCCGGCAGGAUGACGGGUCAGUCGAAUCUACCCCUCGGAUCGGCACUGUGAACGCAUUUAAAUUCGCGAUUAAUCUCGAUGCGGAGACGUGGCAGCGAUAACGCUCAUUAUCUGGCCCAGGGCAGCGGCGCGAAUUUAUUUUCGGCGUUGGCUGCACGCAGGAAAACAGUGACCG
rnacentral:misc_RNA from 1 species